rnacentral:rRNA from 1 species
UACGGGGGGGGGCAAGCGUUGUUCGGAAUUACUGGGCGUAAAGGGCUCGUAGGUGGCCAACUAAGUCGGACGUGAAAUCCCUCAGCUUAACUGGGGAACUGCGUCCGAUACUGGAUGGCUUGAGUUUGGGAGAGGGAUGCGGAAUUCCAGGUGUAGCGGUGAAAAUGCGUAGAUAUCUGGAGGAACACCGGUGGCGAAGGCGGCAUCCUGGACCAACACUGACACUGAGGAGCGAAAGCGUGGGGAGCAAACAGG